AGUGAACGCUGGCGGUAGGCCUAACACAUGCGAGUCGAACGGCAGCACAGUAAGAGCUUGCUCUUACGGGUGGCGAGUGGCGGACGGGUGAGGAAUACAUCGGAAUCUACUUUUUCGUGGGGGAUAACGUAGGGAAACUUACGCUAAUACCGCAUACGACCUACGGGUGAAAGCAGGGGAUCUUCGGACCUUGCGCGAUUGAAUGAGCUGAUGUCGGAUUAGCUAGUUGGCGGGGUAAAGGCCCACCAAGGCGACGAUCCGUAGCUGGUCUGAGAGGAUGAUCAGCCACACUGGAACUGAGACACGGUCCAGACUCCUACGGGAGGCAGCAGUGGGGAAUAUUGGACAAUGGGCGCAAGCCUGAUCCAGCCAUACCGCGUGGGUGAAGAAGGCCUUCGGGUUGUAAAGCCCUUUUGUUGGGAAAGAAAAGCAGCAGGUUAAUACCCCGCUGUUCUGACGGUACCCAAAGAAUAAGCACCGGCUAACUUCGUG
rnacentral:rRNA from 1 species